GCUUAGGCAAUCUUUCUCACCUCAUUCAACCCGCAUGUCCCACAAACUCAAGUUGUCAUCAUCUGAUCAUCUUUAUAUCAGUGCAUAGGAGUUCUGCUGGUCCAGCACAGCAGCUAUCUCAUAUAUAGAUAUGGAAAAUAUGGCCUGUGAAAUGAAAACUAAAGGAGCUCAAGAAUAUGAAUGACAGCAUUACAGCGAGCCACGUUUUGAAAGACUUGCAUGCAGGCGAAUCCAGAUAUACAUGCCAGCAAGCAGAUGCUCACACAGAUGACAGGUAUUUAUAGACUGAUCCAGUCACUCCUUCACCUGGAAACCUUUGUGGCAGGAAAGAGACGAAGUGA
rnacentral:lncRNA from 1 species